rnacentral:misc_RNA from 1 species
GGCUCGUGUAGCUCAUUAGCUCCGAGCC